CGGACGUAAGCUGUCGACGUAUGGGACUGGCCCGCGUGCAUUAGCUAGUUGGUAAGGUAAAAGGCUUACCAAGGCGAUGAUGCAUAGCCCGAGUUGAGAGACUGAUCGGGCCACAUUGGGGACUGAGACACGGGGCCCAAACUCCUACGGGGGGAGGGGCAGCAGUAGGGGGAAUCUUCCACAAUGGACGCAAGUCUGAUGGAGCAACGCCGCGUGAGUGAAGUAAGGUUUCGGAUCGUAAAGCUCUGUUGUUGGUGAAGAAGGAUAGGAGGUAAGUAACUCGGUCCUUUAUUUGGAACGGUAAUACAACCAAGAAAGUCGACGGACUAACUACGUCGCCAGCACGCCGGACGGUAAU
rnacentral:rRNA from 1 species